CAAGUAUCAACAAAUUGAAUGGAUUUCGGAAUGCCAAGUGCCAACUAACCAACCAAACAGCAAAGCGCAAACUACAAUUUUAAAGUUUUAUAAAAAAUACAAUGGUUGAAAUAAUAUUAAACUUUUCUCAAUUUCAUUAAUAAAAAAAUGCUUAAAAUCUGUAAAACUUAUGCGAAUAUAAAUGUAAGAUACAAUAUUAAUAAAUAAAUAAUAAUAUAAGAAAGUUAAAAAAAUUAAUGAAUCAUGUCGGAAAGAAAAGGCACAAAAGCUCUGGAGUUGUGGUGUAAGCGUUUAAUUAAAGAUUGUCCGGAUAUACACAUAGAAAAUAUGACAACAUCUUGGAGAAAUGGAAUGGCAUUUUGUGCUUUAGUUCAUCAUUUUAGGCCAGAUUUGAUUGAUAUGUCGAAAUUAAAACCUGAAAAUAUUUAUGAAAACAAUCAACUAGCAUUUAACAUAGCUGAAAAAUACCUUGGAAUACCUGCAUUAUUGGACCCUGAAGACAUGGUAGAUAAUGACGUUCCGGACAGAUUAUCAAUUUUGACUUAUUUAUCCCAAUUCUACCAACGCCUCAGUCAUACAGUGAACACUAAGGUGUCAGAAAAUGAAUCGAAAGCUUUACCUACAAAAACAACAGAACCACCUACACCAGUAAGAUUUGGCAAGACCGGUCUUGAUAAAUGCACUUCAUGUGGCUUACCUGUUUAUUUAGCUCAACGUCUGAUGGUAGCCCAUAAACUCUACCACAGAAGAUGUUUCCGUUGUUCAAAAUGCUCAGGACACCUGAAUCCUAAGAGUUAUGAAACAGUUGAAGGAUCUGAUUUUACCUGUGAUAGUUGUAAAAAUGAUAAAACUCUAUCUAAACUUUUGAACAACAACAAUGAUCAAAAUCUAAUGGGCAUGUUGGCAUUCACUGAUGUUUUAGAUGAGCCAAAACCAAAAGAUAAUUUGUGUGAAGAUAAAAUUAGUUUCAGGGAAAACAAACGACCACAGUCUGUUCUGGACAAAAUAAGUAUGUUCGAAAAAAAUAUAGAAAAAGAUGUCCCCAUAGAUAACAGGAUGAAUAAUAUUUUAAAAGAAAAUUCCACUCAGAUAAAUAUAGAAGUAAAAACUGAAAUACUGAAUGAGCAUGACCCAAAAACUGUUCUUGAUAGAACAGAGAGUAGUAAUAAACCAAUUAAUAAUUUACCAGACGUAGUAUACAAAAGUAAUGUUAAAAAAUUCAAUUUCUUACAAACACAACUUUCUGACGGUAGCUGCAAUGAAUCAACUGUUGAAGAGAAAACUUUACCUAAAUCUGAACACAAGUUGCAAGAAGAUGUGAGUAUUGAUGUAAAAAGUUUCAACAAAGAUGUUGUCCUAGAAAACAGUGAACCAUUAAUAGUCAAUGAUUAUAACAAUAUAACGGACGAUAGCAGACUAGCGAACAGUGUUAACGUUACACUAAGUAGCACUGAACCGAUUUCUGAAGAGCCUAUCGUAUUAGAACCAGAAAUCAAAAUAAAUGUACCGCCGCGACGUAAAAAGCAAAUGGGUCAAGAUUUUAAAAAGAUAUCAAAACCAAAAGGCGCACCAACUGUUACACCUCAAGAGAACGAAGAGUAUCCUGAUCAUUUGAACCCAUUUUCGGAUGAUGAUGAUGAGGUUCAGGUCUCCCAAAAUCCUUCCAAGACAGUGAGCACUAAUCCUUUCGGCAGCAGCGACGAUGAAAACGAGGAACUACCACCAAUACCACCGAUUUCAAAGCAACCUGAAACACUACCAGUAAAACGUCUCAUAGCCGUCAAUCCAUUUUGGUCCGACGGAGAAGAACCUUCCACAGACGAUGAAAUUGACGACUUAAGCUCAAAGAUGUACAACUCUUCUAUGGCGACGAGCACGCCGAACCUGCCGUCGAGCGCGCCUCGACGUAAGAAACAGAAGGCCCCUCCGCCCCCUGUGGUACUGGUUUCAGAGCCGCAACAGCCGGGCACGUCAAUGGAAGAUGUUGCCAGCCUAUCAUCGCACAGUUCUUACAAUUCUACUGCUAACUCGAGUCACAUGUACGGAAAAAGCACUCCAGUGCAGCUAAGGAAGAACAUAACGGCACCAACUCCUCCUGACAGCAUAUCAACGCUGUCCGAAUGUGCGGGCUCUCUUGAAAAAGGCGUCGAUACAUCCGGUCUCGGAAGUAACAACUCUAGUUUAGUUGGGCGACGAACUAAGGGCCCAGCGCCGGGCCUCCCGCUGCCGGAACGACGCGAAGUGAAACUUCAGAUGUCCCCAGAAGAGUUGCAAGUGCAGCUCGAUCUCCUGGAAACGCAGCAGCUCGGGCUGGAGCGGCAGGGGGUACUCAUCGAGAAGAUGAUACGGGAUAAGUGUGAGGGCGACGAGCCAUCCUCUGUGCCGCAAGAAGAGGUCGAAGAUCUUGUGAUACAACUCUGCGAACUUGUCAACGAGAAGAACGAUCUGUUCAGGAAACAAACGGAACUUAUGUAUAUCCGUCGACAACAACGUCUAGAACAGGAGCAAGCAGAUAUCGAGCACGAGAUUAGAAUAAUCCAAUCGCGUCCAGCGGUCAACCGUAUUGACGCGGAUAAGGCGCGGGAAGAGGAGCUGGUCACGCGGCUCGUGGAGAUAGUACGUCUGCGCGACGAGCUGGUGCAGCAGCUGGACGCGGAGCGGCGCCGCGAGCAGCAGGAGGACCUCGCCAUCGCAGCGUCCAUCGCCAGUAAACGAGCUCAGAGACAAAGCGAAUCAAACAGUUCUUCAAUCAAAUCAGUUGAGGUUGCAGCUCCGAAGAAGAACAAAGUAAAGGAUAAAAUGAAAAAACAAUUCAAAAAAGCAAAACACACAUUAAUUUCAAAGAAAAAGGACGAUUCGCCUGAACACAAAGAAGAAAAAGAACGUAAGAAAUCUAAAUAAAUAGCAGUUACGCGGAUAUUGAUUGAUAUUAACUUUUUUUUUGCUUUGAAAGGUACUGAAAGUACUUGCAAGUAAGACUGAAUCAUUCCACUAAAUAUUUUUUAUUAUUGAUAAAAUGAAAAGUCAAUUAGAUCUUUAAUAUGCAUGGCUCUAGUACUCCAUUCAAUGUAAAAAACAAACUCAGCAAACUACUUUUUUCAUUACCACUAUACAUUAUGUUUUUUUUUUAAAUACUGCUUGUGUGACUGAGGAAGGGAGAUCGACACAUUCAUGCUUAUAUCACUUAAGCACAAAAAUGGAGUAUAGAUGAUUUGACAUAUAUUUAGGAUAAAUCAAUAUCGUUUUCGUGCCAGCGUUAGUAUAUAGUAAAAUACAUAAAAUAAUACAUAAAUUCAUUUAUCCGUAACACACCAGAUAUAAUACAAAAGCUACAUAUAAUGAGUCUUAUUAUAUUAGUGACCAAAUAGUAAUGUUGUUUGACAAUCUUUUGUUUUGUGUUAAUAUAUAUUUUAUAUCAUGUGUAAAUUAACGUAAUUUUUUUAAUUCUUAUUUUGUGUAGAACAAAAAAAUGAAUACCGUUAUACUAAUACGUAUAAAUUUACUUACUUUUGUACUUAACUAACAUAGUAUUAAUAACAUGUUCACAAUAAUUCCAGUAUUAUUUGUACAAUAACAGUAGUAUGUUGUAAUACUUAUUAUUUCUCAUUGAUUAAGUGAAUUAAUUCAAGUCGAAUUUCAAAAGACAUUUAACUAACACCAUAAUAUAUAUUUAUAGUACCUAAUCUUAUAAUUGCAAUAAUUUUAAAUGGUUCCCAGAAGCUCGCAAUUGUUAUUGAACUUUAAAACGCAUCGGUCUAAUGCGCGUAUUCUGAUAGUCGCGUUACUUAAUGUAAACAACUAAACACAAGCAACGGCCUUACCUCGACCUAACUUUGUGUUAACGGUUUACUAAAAAAGAUAGAUAUUUACAGUGGUGGAUUUACACUAGGGCAAUCGAGGCAAGUGCCCGGGGCGGCAAAUUUUUUAGGGCGGCAAAAUUUUGAAAUUAAGUAUUUUUUUAGUCUUAUCAAGAUUGCUCAAUAUAAUUGAUUAAUUCUAUUAAUUAUUAUAAUCAUUUUCUGUUUACUGAUAAUUCAGCAAAUUCAAUUCAUCCAUUAUUUGUGAAUUAUAACUUGGCACUUUUGGUAAAAAUUAAUAAUCAUAAUGAUUUAAUCAAUUUAUUUCCUUGGACAUUUAAAAUAAUUAUCGAUUUUUCCAUUUUCUGGAAUUAAAGAAAUUUAAUUAGUUCUUUUUUUUAUGUAAUAUAAUAUCAUUAUGUGUCGUCACCCCUUAGUGUAAAAUUUAUCAUUGUUCGAAAAAAAAACAAAUAGUUAUUUAUGUUUUUGGAAUAUAUAACAUAUGUUAAAGUUUCUACAAUAAAUUAGUUAUUUUAAUUUUGAAAAAAAUAUAUAAACUAUAAGUUUAGGUAGAAUUCCAGUAUUGGGGCGGAUUUUUUUCCGGUGCCCAGGAGCGGCAUUAAGUCUAAUAAUAGAUAUUUAAUAUAUAAGCCGUCGCUGUCCCUGCGACGUAAAGUUAAAGUUUCAAUUGGAUUGUAGUAUUGUAAAAGUCGAAAUUCCCUUAAACACGCUCCGAAGUAUCUCAUUAAAAAAAAGUUUUGCAGAAGAUACUGUACUCCAUUUAAUUGCGACCGUGCCUUCAAAGGUAAUCAGUGCAUACAUCAGCGAAAGAACUGCUCGCACUUGAGAUUAAAUAAAAACAAAGAUUUAACUUCAAAGCAUUAUAUGUUGAAAUGAUAUCACAUCUUUUAAUAUGUAUAUUUCUCAUCAAUGUCCCAUGUAUCCUUUAAAUUCACUUAACAAUUAAUUUUGAUAAAUUAAUACAAAAUAACCAAUUGAUAUUAAUAAGAAACACUCAGUUGUAUGAAAUUCGUUACAAGAUUCGUGUAGUCUAUACGUUGUUUUAAGUAGUUUAUUAUGACUGAAAUAUACAGGUAAUUUAACUCAUAUACUGACAAGAUAAACUCUAGAUAUCAGCUUCGAGAUUUCAUUUAUUAUCACAUAAACAGCUAAAAAUUUCCAAUAAAAUUAUAUAAUUUAUUUCAACAAACAAGCAGUUCAUUUAUAGAAAUACGAAAAUUUGUCGACAUUUCUGCAAUAUUUUAAUAGUGCAAUUUUAUAUUUCUGUAUUUGUUAAACGAAUCAGAUUGUUGUAUGUAGAAACUUUAAAAAUACAGUUCGCGACAACGUUUGUAAGACAGCCCGAGGGCUGUGAGUAGCCACUCUAUUUAUUGUUUUAUUGUUUUUGUUUGUAAUCUUACAGUAGAAGGGAAAAAAACAACAUAUCAAAUAUGAAACGUUAAUCUGGAAAAAUAGGCAAUACUCGGUAGAACUUAGUUAUCUAUUAUUGCUGUGCAGACUCAAUAAAUGACUUACUUAAACUGUGAACUGCAUUAUUAAAAUUAUAUUAUAAAUUAUUUACUUGUUAUUAAAUUUAAAAAUAUAUUUUUAUACUAGUCUUCUCAUAAUAGUAUGUAGAUGUCCUUACCAUUUAUUGCCUAAAACAAAAGAUAUCUUCGCAGGCCACAAAAUUAAACAAUGGACCUUAUUUAGGCGAAUAUUCUCGAAAUUCACUUUUAGAAUAAUUUUCUAUAAUAUCACUUUGUUUGUACUCUACUUUAACAGAUGUCAAUUAAUUCACAGCCUACAUUAAAGUGUCAACAUACAACCCAAAAAAAAAUCUGAUGUUUAAAAUGCAAUAAUAGGCUAAUUAAUGCCUAUGAAUAGAUAGACAAUUAAUUUUAACUAACACGAGAAAGAUUUUAUUAAGGAAACAGAAUCCUUUUUAUUAAUGUGUUGGUACUGUGUGCUUUAAUGCGAGCUUUUUAACUGCGCAAAAGUUAACUCCAAUUUGUAUGGACUUGGAACAGCUUCCCUUCGUUUGCUAGGGGACUUAGCCGCACUAAGCACACUGAUGUAGGUACCGUUUAGAUCCGCGAAUAUAGGAAUUGGGUCGCAUUUUUGUAAUCCGCGUAUAGUGAAAACGCGAAUGAAGGAAGCGGGAAUAAGAAUCUUUUACUGUACUAUACUAGGUAUAUAAGCACCACUAAAUUUCAGUAAUUUUGUCGCGGUAGUCAACUGGUCUAUACCAGUUGACUACCGCGAACCAUUUGACUACUAGUUGAAAUCCUGGACAUCAUUUAUCGUUGAAUUCCAGGAUCCGUGGGUCCAAACUAUACUCGCCUAAACAUCUUUUUCGUGUUAAUCGUAAGUUUCUGUAUAAAAAAAUGUACCUACCACCACCAUCUACCAUCCAUACCACCACCAUUAUCAUAUAUUAUAUUAUUAUUGUUAGAAAACUGCUAAAUUUAUAACGUUGUUAUACAGCUUGAUUGUUAAAAAUACAGUUAAGUUACUAGGGUAAUCGCCUCUAGUUUUUAAUUGUAUUUGCAUAAUUUUUAUUAUUUAGACAAAUGUUUCUCAGCAUAAUAUGAUUCCGUAUUAUAAUUCUACUUUUAAACGUAAAUAUAUAACGUACGUAUUUUUAUGAUUUUUAGUACUAAAAUUGUAACAGUGUAAAUUCAAAGAAACUACAAAUAAUAUACCAACAUAUGAUUUAUUCAUUUAUUUUAAAAUUAUUCGUUCAAUUAACAUCAACAAAUUUACACACUAACAUUAUUAUACUCGCAGAUUCAAGACACCAGUUAGGUACGUAGGUAAUCUAAGUGCACAAAAGGCACAAAAAUAAACUUCGUUAUCUACCUA